rnacentral:rRNA from 1 species
UACGGGGGGAGCAAGCGUUGUUCGGAUUUACUGGGCGUAAAGGGCGCGUAGGCGGCGUGACAAGUCACUUGUGAAAUCUCCGGGCUUAACUCGGAACGGUCAAGUGAUACUGUCGUGCUAGAGUACAGAAGGGGCAACUGGAAUUCUCGGUGUAGCGGUGAAAUGCGUAGAUAUCGAGAGGAACACCUGCGGCGAAGGCGGCAUCCUGGACCAAUAUUGACGCUGAGGAGCGAAAGCUAGGGGAGCAAACGGG